rnacentral:rRNA from 1 species
ACGGAUAUCUCGGCUCUCGCAUCGAUGAAGAACGUAGCGAAAUGCGAUACCUGGUGUGAAUUGCAGAAUCCCGCGAACCAUCGAGUCUUUGAACGCAAGUUGCGCCCGAGGCCUUCUGGCCGAGGGCACGCCUGCCUGGGCGUCACGCCAAACACGCUCCCCCC